AUAGAUGUUAAUAGUUAAAAUUUCCUUUUGUAUUAGGAUUAUUUAAAAAUAAGAAAAGUUUCUAAAAAAGAAAAAUAAUAAUUUAAUAAAAUAUUGAUUAUUUGUAACAUAAAUAUUUAAUAUUAUAUUAAAAGAGAAAAUUAAUUACAUUAUUUGAUAACUUUUUAUUUUAAAUUUAUAAGGAUUAUCUUAUAAUAUAAAUUAUAAACAUAACUAAAAGGAUUAGAAAUGUCUCUUUUAUGUUUUUGUAAUAAAAAAAUUGUAUAUAAAAAUAUGAUUUGAAAAUAUUAAAUUAAAUUAUAAUUUAAUAAAUUAUAAAUAAGUGAGUAAAAUAUAAAAUUAAAAUUUAAAAUUAGGCAAAUGAUAUUCUAAUGUUUAAUAAAAACAUUGUAUUAAAAUUUUAAUAUAAUCUCCCUGCUCAAUGAUAUAUUUAAAUAGCCGCAGUAAACUGACUGUGCAAAGGUAGCAAAAUCAUUUGUUUAAUAAAUUUAAACUAGAAUGAAAGGGAUAAAGCAAUAUCAACUAUUAAAUUUUAAUAAAUUGAAAUCAAAAUUAAAAUAAAAACUUUUUAAAUUUUUAUUUAAACGAGAAGACCCUAGAAAUUUUUAUUUUUCUUUGGGAUAAAGUAAUAAAAUAAAUUAAUUAAACUUAUGUAAAUAUUAUUAAAUUACUCUAGGGAUAACAGCAAAAUAAUAAUAAAGAGAUCUUAUCUAAAUUAUUGUUUUUGACCUCGAUGUUGAAUCAUUAAAUUAUAAAAUGUAGAAGUUUUAUAAAAAACGUCUGUUCGACGUAAGAUUUUUACGUGAUUUGAGUUUAGACCGUCGUAAGACAGGUCGGAUUCUCUUUAAUAAAAAUAAAUAAUAUCUUUUUUAGUACGAAAGGAACAAAAAGAUCAGAUAAUUUUCUGUAUAAUGAUAAAAUUAAAAUGAUUGUUAAUUACU
rnacentral:rRNA from 1 species